rnacentral:rRNA from 3 species
UUAAGCGACUAAGCGUACACGGUGGAUGCCCUGGCAGUCAGAGGCGAUGAAGGACGUGCUAAUCUGCGAUAAGCGUCGGUGAGGUGAUAUGAACCGUUAUAACCGGCGAUUUCCGAAUGGGGAAACCCAGUGUGUUUCGACACACUAUCAUUAACUGAAUCCAUAGGUUAAUGAGGCGAACCGGGGGAACUGAAACAUCUAAGUACCCCGAGGAAAAGAAAUCAACCGAGAUUCCCCCAGUAGCGGCGAGCGAACGGGGAGGAGCCCAGAGCCUGAAUCAGUGUGUGUGUUAGUGGAAGCGUCUGGAAAGGCGCGCGAUACAGGGUGACAGCCCCGUACACAAAAAUGCACAUGCUGUGAGCUCGAUGAGUAGGGCGGGACACGUGGUAUCCUGUCUGAAUAUGGGGGGACCAUCCUCCAAGGCUAAAUACUCCUGACUGACCGAUAGUGAACCAGUACCGUGAGGGAAAGGCGAAAAGAACCCCGGCGAGGGGAGUGAAAAAGAACCUGAAACCGUGUACGUACAAGCAGUGGGAGCCUCUUAAUGGGGUGACUGCGUACCUUUUGUAUAAUGGGUCAGCGACUUAUAUUCUGUAGCAAGGUUAACCGAAUAGGGGAGCCGAAGGGAAACCGAGUCUUAACUGGGCGUUAAGUUGCAGGGUAUAGACCCGAAACCCGGUGAUCUAGCCAUGGGCAGGUUGAAGGUUGGGUAACACUAACUGGAGGACCGAACCGACUAAUGUUGAAAAAUUAGCGGAUGACUUGUGGCUGGGGGUGAAAGGCCAAUCAAACCGGGAGAUAGCUGGUUCUCCCCGAAAGCUAUUUAGGUAGCGCCUCGUGAAUUCAUCUCCGGGGGUAGAGCACUGUUUCGGCAAGGGGGUCAUCCCGACUUACCAACCCGAUGCAAACUGCGAAUACCGGAGAAUGUUAUCACGGGAGACACACGGCGGGUGCUAACGUCCGUCGUGAAGAGGGAAACAACCCAGACCGCCAGCUAAGGUCCCAAAGUCAUGGUUAAGUGGGAAACGAUGUGGGAAGGCCCAGACAGCCAGGAUGUUGGCUUAGAAGCAGCCAUCAUUUAAAGAAAGCGUAAUAGCUCACUGGUCGAGUCGGCCUGCGCGGAAGAUGUAACGGGGCUAAACCAUGCACCGAAGCUGCGGCAGCGACACUAUGUGUUGUUGGGUAGGGGAGCGUUCUGUAAGCCUGUGAAGGUGGCCUGUGAGGGUUGCUGGAGGUAUCAGAAGUGCGAAUGCUGACAUAAGUAACGAUAAAGCGGGUGAAAAGCCCGCUCGCCGGAAGACCAAGGGUUCCUGUCCAACGUUAAUCGGGGCAGGGUGAGUCGACCCCUAAGGCGAGGCCGAAAGGCGUAGUCGAUGGGAAACAGGUUAAUAUUCCUGUACUUGGUGUUACUGCGAAGGGGGGACGGAGAAGGCUAUGUUGGCCGGGCGACGGUUGUCCCGGUUUAAGCGUGUAGGCUGGUUUUCCAGGCAAAUCCGGAAAACCAAGGCUGAGGCGUGAUGACGAGGCACUACGGUGCUGAAGCGACAAAUGCCCUGCUUCCAGGAAAAGCCUCUAAGCAUCAGGUAACAUCAAAUCGUACCCCAAACCGACACAGGUGGUCAGGUAGAGAAUACCAAGGCGCUUGAGAGAACUCGGGUGAAGGAACUAGGCAAAAUGGUGCCGUAACUUCGGGAGAAGGCACGCUGAUAUGUAGGUGAAGCGACUUGCUCGUGGAGCUGAAAUCAGUCGAAGAUACCAGCUGGCUGCAACUGUUUAUUAAAAACACAGCACUGUGCAAACACGAAAGUGGACGUAUACGGUGUGACGCCUGCCCGGUGCCGGAAGGUUAAUUGAUGGGGUUAGCGGCAACGCGAAGCUCUUGAUCGAAGCCCCGGUAAACGGCGGCCGUAACUAUAACGGUCCUAAGGUAGCGAAAUUCCUUGUCGGGUAAGUUCCGACCUGCACGAAUGGCGUAAUGAUGGCCAGGCUGUCUCCACCCGAGACUCAGUGAAAUUGAACUCGCUGUGAAGAUGCAGUGUACCCGCGGCAAGACGGAAAGACCCCGUGAACCUUUACUAUAGCUUGACACUGAACAUUGAGCCUUGAUGUGUAGGAUAGGUGGGAGGCUUUGAAGUGUGGACGCCAGUCUGCAUGGAGCCGACCUUGAAAUACCACCCUUUAAUGUUUGAUGUUCUAACGUUGGCCCGUAAUCCGGGUUGCGGACAGUGUCUGGUGGGUAGUUUGACUGGGGCGGUCUCCUCCUAAAGAGUAACGGAGGAGCACGAAGGUUGGCUAAUCCUGGUCGGACAUCAGGAGGUUAGUGCAAUGGCAUAAGCCAGCUUGACUGCGAGCGUGACGGCGCGAGCAGGUGCGAAAGCAGGUCAUAGUGAUCCGGUGGUUCUGAAUGGAAGGGCCAUCGCUCAACGGAUAAAAGGUACUCCGGGGAUAACAGGCUGAUACCGCCCAAGAGUUCAUAUCGACGGCGGUGUUUGGCACCUCGAUGUCGGCUCAUCACAUCCUGGGGCUGAAGUAGGUCCCAAGGGUAUGGCUGUUCGCCAUUUAAAGUGGUACGCGAGCUGGGUUUAGAACGUCGUGAGACAGUUCGGUCCCUAUCUGCCGUGGGCGCUGGAGAACUGAGGGGGGCUGCUCCUAGUACGAGAGGACCGGAGUGGACGCAUCACUGGUGUUCGGGUUGUCAUGCCAAUGGCACUGCCCGGUAGCUAAAUGCGGAAGAGAUAAGUGCUGAAAGCAUCUAAGCACGAAACUUGCCCCGAGAUGAGUUCUCCCUGACUCCUUGAGAGUCCUGAAGGAACGUUGAAGACGACGACGUUGAUAGGCCGGGUGUGUAAGCGCAGCGAUGCGUUGAGCUAACCGGUACUAAUGAACCGUGAGGCUUAACCUU